rnacentral:lncRNA from 1 species
GCAGAGCCCGGGCUAGCGGGCAGCUGCCGUCUACCCCUCGGGCCCUCGGGCCAGUUGGCGCGCGGAGACUGGCUCCUCCUGCCCUUCUCCCGCCCCCUUGCCCCUGGGCGGGCCGGAUUCCCGUCUGAGUAGCAGGGGCAGAUGCGUCUCCGUGGCGCGGCUCCCGGGUGGUCACCCCUCCCCGAUGGGGGAACGGAGAGAGGCCCGCCGAGGGGCAGCAACCCCGUGCACCCCCCCGCUGCCCUCCCAACAUGACCAGAAGCCGGCGACAAGACCAGGAGCCAUAGCCGGGGUCCUCAGCCCCGUCUCCAUCCCAGGCAUCCCCAGAGUGCGGGGCGGGCCAGGGGACCUGGUGGGGAAGGGUACCGAUUAGCACCCCUGGAUCCCGAUUAUGCUGCGAGGGCAAAUAGAGCGGGAGUGUGGUGGGUAGGAAAGGGGGGCAAGGGUCGCCCCGCGGGUUUCUAGGUCGGUUGGGGCCAUGGUCUCUGGCAGGAGCAGAGGAGCGAGGGGGCCCUGGGCAGGGACCGCACGACAGGUGCUGCCAGUCGGCUGGUGGCACGGGCCCCGGAGGGCGCGAAAGAGGCCCGGCUGGCUCCGCCUCCCCUCCCCCAGCUGGACGCGGCUCUGACACUCGUUAGAUGUGAGCAAUGGGCUAAUUUUAUCCGGCUCGGGCUCAGCAGGAAACCGACGCUGAAGCUAGAUUUGUUCUUCCGGGCGACUCUGGCCCCCGGGAGGCCAGUCUCGGGGAGCACAGGGGGGAGGGGACGCGCCCGCCUCGGUGGGAGUGGGGGCGUGGUGUCCCCUCUCUGCCCCAAAGUAGACCGAGUUUUGACGUCGGGGAUGAUAUGCUCUGGUCCUCUUGUGUCCACAAUGGAAGCUAGGUCCCGUCUUUGGGGCCUGGGGGCUCAUAUUGGGACUUCGAGGAGAAGAGGUAUCUUGGACAUAGGUUCAGUAGAAGCCUGAGGUAUAAGAAUGUGCCUUCUCUAAAAGGCUGUAGCUGUGAACAGUUCUAUAUAGAAGAAAAACGCUUGCCUGAAUUGUUAGGCACUUCCGGAACUGGUGACUGUGCUGAUUUGAGACUAUGGAGGUCAGCAAACCAAAGAAGGGAGUCCAGAGAGAUCACCUGUCCAUGGAGGAUAGAAGCAGAAAGCAGAGGCUGGAAUAUAAGGCCAGAGAGAUGAGAUGAUCCAAGAGCCUAAGAAGGUUGUGGACCUUAGGGAAAAGGGACAUGAUGUCAUCUUGCACCCUUCUUUGGGGAGAGCUAGCUGGUUUUAAAGGGCUAGCACAGAUCCUAGCACUCCCUUCUUUUCUAGGUGUUUUGCUUCAUACUGAGCUAGGCAAACCAUCCCUGAAGUUGACGAAUGAAAUGUUUAGACCCUGUCUGAGGAAAUUCUUGGCUCGGCAGGUAGUAUUUCAGGUACUCCUAACACUAAUGGACUAGGUCCUCCUAACUCUUCCUAAUGUACUGAUCCUAGAAAGAACUAGCCAGGUGGUGGCUUAGGAGAGGUCUGUACUUUUCCCCUCCAAAUGCAGAUAACUGCAUUGUUUGUUCUGAUCAUAAAAUUAAUAUUGUCCAUAAAAUAUUGUUUAAUGCAAAUAGAAAUAUGUGAAAAAGUGUGGAUACUACCUCUACCCUCUGCUUUUUUUGAAAAACAGUAUUAAAAAAAUAUCCUCAACAUACGUGUAUAUAUCUAUGUAGCGCUCUACAGGCUUUUAAGAAUACAAAAAAUAUAUGGAAGGACAUAACUUUUUAGUAUAGGGUACCUGUGGUAGGGUAGGGUGUCAUGCUGACAUGGAAGGGAGCAAGAAGACAAAAAUGGGGGAAAAAGGCAUAUUUAAAAUGCAUAUAUAUGACCACAUUUAUACAUUUAUUUUACAAAGAUGAUGAUCCAUUAUAGAAGCCAAACCAAGAUAUUAAAGUAUAGGAAUUAAGCCGGGUGUGGUGGUGCAUCCCUGUAAUCUAAGCAGCUCAGGAUGCUGAGGCGGGAGGAUUGUGAGUUCGAAGCCAGCCUCAGCACUUAGGGAGGCCCUAAGCAACUCAGGGAGACCUUGUCUCUUAAUAAAACAUAAAAAAGGGUUGGGGAUGGGGCUGUGGCUGUGGCUCAGUGGUAGAGCGCUCAUCUAGCAUGCGUGAGGCACUGGAUUUGAUCCUCAGCACUG